CAUUUUGAACCGCAUGGUUCGAAAUUGAAAGGCGGCUUCCGCUGUCACUUAUGGAUGGACCCGCGUCUCAUUAUCUAGUUGGUGAGGUAACGGCUCACCGAGGCAACGAUGCGUAGCCGACCUGAGAGGGUGAUCGGCCACACUGGGACUGACACACUGCCCAGACUCCUACGGGAGGCAGCACUAGGGAAUCUUCCCCUAUGGACGAAAGUCUGACGGAGCAACGCCGCGUGAGUGAUGAAGGCUUUCGGGUCGUAAAACUCUGUUGUUAGGGAAGAACAAGUGCUAGUUGAAUAAGCUGGCACCUUGACGGUACCUAACCUCAAAAGCCUCUGCUAACUACUUGCCAGCAGCCGCGGUAAUACGUAGGUGGCAAGCGUUAUCCGGAAUUAUUGGGCGUUGAGCGCGCGCACGUGGUUUCUUAUGUCUGAUGUGAAAGCCCACGGCUCCACCGUGGAGGGUGAUUGGAAACUGGGAGACUUGAGUGCAGGAGGAGGAAAGUGGAAUUACAUGUGUAUCGGUGAAAUGCGUAGAGAUAUGGAGGAACACCAGUGGGCGAAUGGCGACUUUCUGGUCUGUAACUGACACU
rnacentral:rRNA from 1 species